rnacentral:rRNA from 1 species
CAGUAGCCGCGGUAAUACGUAGGGUGCGAGCGUUGUCCGGAAUUAUUGGGCGUAAAGAGCUUGUAGGCGGUCUGUCGCGUCUGCUGUGAAAACCCGAGGCUCAACCUCGGGCCUGCAGUGGGUACGGGCAGACUAGAGUGCGGUAGGGGAGAACGGAACUCCUGGUGUAGCGGUGGAAUGCGCAGAUAUCAGGAAGAACACCGAUGGCGAAGGCAGUUCUCUGGGCCGUAACUGACGCUGAGAAGCGAAAGCGUGGGGAGCGAACAGGAUUAGAUACCCCUGUAGUCCCUGUCUCUUAUAC